UUCCUCUCAAGGUCACACCUGGAGAGUUUUCAGUACUCUACCAGUCUUGACUAGAGAAGGGAGAGUCAAGCAGAAGCAUAUCCAUCCCAUUCCUAGCUCGGGCAGGGGCUAGCGAGUGGAAGGCAAUCUGCUACUAGC